AUUGAACGCUGGCGGCAUGCCUUACACAUGCAAGUCGAACGGUAACGGGCCUUCGGGUGCCGACGAGUGGCGAACGGGUGAGUAAUGCAUCGGAACGUACCUUUCAGUGGGGGAUAACGUAGCGAAAGUUACGCUAAUACCGCAUAUUCUGUGAGCAGGAAAGCAGGGGAUCGCAAGACCUUGCGCUGAUUGAGCGGCCGAUGUCAGAUUAGCUAGUUGGUGAGGUAAAGGCUCACCAAGGCGACGAUCUGUAGCGGGUCUGAGAGGAUGAUCCGCCACACUGGGACUGAGACAUGGCCCAGACUCCUACGGGAGGCAGCAGUGGGGAAUUUUGGACAAUGGGGGCAACCCUGAUCCAGCCAUGCCGCGUGAGUGAAGAAGGCCUUCGGGUUGUAAAGCUCUUUCGGCCGGGAAGAAAUCGCACAGGCUAAUACCUUGUGUGGAUGACGGUACCGGAAUAAGAAGCACCGGCUAACUACGUGCCAGCCGCCGCCGUAAGAC
rnacentral:rRNA from 1 species